GCAUUCGUGGUGUAGCGGUUAACAUCCAACCCUUCCAAGGUUGUGGCCCGGGUUCGAACCCCGGCGAAUGCA